AUUGAACGCUGGCGGCAGGCCUAACACAUGCAAGUCGAACGGUAGCACAGAGAGCUUGCUCUCGGGUGACGAGUGGCGGACGGGUGAGUAAUGUCUGGGAAACUGCCCGAUGGAGGGGGAUAACUACUGGAAACGGUAGCUAAUACCGCAUAACGUCGCAAGACCAAAGUGGGGGACCUUCGGGCCUCACACCAUCGGAUGUGCCCAGAUGGGAUUAGCUAGUAGGUGGGGUAAUGGCUCACCUAGGCGACGAUCCCUAGCUGGUCUGAGAGGAUGACCAGCCACACUGGAACAGAGACACGGUCCAGACUCCUACGGGAGGCAGCAGUGGGGAAUAUUGCACAAUGGGCGCAAGCCUGAUGCAGCCAUGCCGCGUGUAUGAAGAAGGCCUUCGGGUUGUGAAGUACUUUCAGCGGGGAGGAAGGCGGUGAAGUUAAUAACUUCACCGAUUGACGUUACCCGCAGAAGAAGCACCGGCUAACUCCGUGCCAGCAGCCGCGGUAA
rnacentral:rRNA from 1 species